rnacentral:lncRNA from 1 species
UCAUCCUUGAAGGGAUGAAACCACCCCAAAACCCUACCCCAAAUGGGAUCAGGGGCUGCACCUUGCUCCCCCAUGGUCCCCGAGCAUCCCGCUCCGGGGCUCCGUCAGCUCCUGCCCCACAGUGCCCGGGGGUGCCCGGGGCCACCCAGCCCCAGCCGUGUCCCCAACCCCGGCCCCGCUCCGCACAAGGCCGCUCUGUUCUCCCGGGAAGCUCUGGCAAACCCCACUGCCACCAGCAGCUCCUUAACCCCUUCUCACCCCACAGGGAGCCUCGGGCACGGCACGGUGACCCCACAGCUUCCCGGGGUGCCACAGGGGCAGGGGACGGCAGCGCCUGUGCCCCGGCCCCAGGACACCCGGUGCUGAGGCCAGGAAGGUUUUGGGGGCAUCCCCACUGCCCCCAUGGCGCACACCCCACAAAUCCAGCCCCACGCUGGCCUCGGCUGUCCCCAAAAGGCCACGGUUGCUGUUGGGGACGGGGCUGGGCACGCUCUGCCCCAUGGCUGCGGGAUCACCCCAUUUGGGUACGGGAUCGCCCUAUUUAGGUGCAGAAUCACCCCAUUUAGGUGUGGGAUCACCCCAUUUGGGGUGGGAUCACCCCAUUUCUGCUCAGCCCUGGGGUCACAGACCCUGCUGGGGGCUCCAGGGGCAAUGGGAUGGGGCAGACGAGCUGCAGGGGGCUUUGGGAAGCGCCCUCGUGCGCAACCUGGGGACGAGGGGCAGGGGGUGGCAGGAGGGGCCCCUUCCCUGCCCCACAGCCCGGCCCCACACCCCCGCCCCGGCCCCAUGGGGCCACACAGCCCCAGCCCGGCAGGAGGAGGGGAAACUGGGGGAGGAAGAGGAAGAGGAAGAGGAAGAGCAGGGACACGGCGGGGGCUCGGCACCACCAGGGCCACCGCGGCCGGGCUGUGGGGUGCCGGGGGGGGGAUGCGGGGUCUGGGGGUGAUUCAUCCCCCGCCGGGAUGGGAGAAACGACUCAUCCGGGCUUGGGCAGAAAGGGGAAGCAAAAAUCCCUUCCCUCCAUCCCUCGCAGCCGGGGCACCCCCGGCCCCCCCGCGGGGUUUUUCCGCUGGGGGAGCGCAGCCGGCGCACGGGGACCCGGCACGGCCCCACAGAGCCCAGCACUGCACCCCACAGCCCACACCCCACACCCCGCACCCCACACCCCCCCCCACGCAGCCCCCACCCACGCUGCCACCUGCACAGCCCCGCCGUGCCCCACACCGUGCGCCCCACAGCCGCAAUCCCUGCUGCGCCCCACGGCACGCACCGUGCGCCCCACAGCGCGCACCCCACAGCGCACAGCCCCUGCCUGACCCCACACCCUACCCGGGGCACGACCCUACCCGCACCCUGCCCACCUCUCCCCGGGGU